CUGUAACAUUCUGGACAUUAAAUGAUGAAACUCCCAACAAACCUCUGAGACGAAUCAUCUUCAGAACAUGUAGAAGAAGAAUCUCGACAGCUCGUCUCCACCUGAACGUCCUGAAACCGGUGCGGACUGAAGCGUGUCGGCCUGCAGCCUCAGAGGAGCUCAGAUGUGAGAAAGCAGCUGAGCGGGUUCAUAUGAGCAGCAUAUGAGGCAGCAGAGCCGGUCUCAUGACUCCGGUCCGAGCUAAUCCUCCUGAGAGUCUCGUGACCCGUCCAGCUUCACAGAUCCACUCUGAGAAAUCCCCCAAACUCCAAACACGAUGGCUUCCUCCUCAGGUUUCUUUAGUUAUUGACAGAAAUUUUUUGACAUUUAUCAGCUGAAAAUGAUCCUUUGAUGUCAAAGUGAAGACAGAUCUCGACAUCAUCUGUUUAAUGAGGUGCAGUGAAGUGAAGGAUCUGAUUACUUCUGAUGGACAUGAACUUUCUACUUUAUCUGGUACAAAACAAAUCCCUCCACAGUCCGGUCUGUCAGUGUGUGAUGUGUUGGUGAUGAAGCUACAGAGACUCUGCAGCUCCUCUCGG